GAUGAAGAACGUAGUGAAAUGCGAUAAGUAAUGUGAAUUGCAGAAUUCAGUGAAUCAUCGAGUCUUUGAACGCACAUUGCGCCCCCUGGUAUUCCGGGGGGCAUGCCUGUCCGAGCGUCAUUGCUGCCCUCAAGCACGGCUUGUGUGUUGGGCCCCCGCCCCCCGGCUUCGGGGGGCGGGCCCGAAAGGCAGCGGCGGCACCGCGUCCGGUCCUCGAGCGUAUGGGGCUUCGUCACCCGCUCUGUAGGCCCGGCCGGCGCCCGCCGGCGACCCCAAUCAAUCUUUCCAGGUUGACCUCGGAUCAGGUAGGGAUACCCGCUGAACUUAAGCAUAUCAAUGAGCGGAGGA
rnacentral:misc_RNA from 1 species